CGUUAUCGGAUUACUGGGCGUAAAGCGUGCGUAGGCGGCUUUUUAAGUCGGAUGUGAAAUCCCCGAGCUCAACUUGGUGUAAYUGCAUUCGAUACUGGGAAGCUAGAGUAUGGGAGAGGAUGGUGGAAUUCCCGGUGUAGCGGUGAAAUGCGUAGAUAUCUGGAGGAACACCGAUGGCGAAGGC
rnacentral:rRNA from 1 species